rnacentral:rRNA from 1 species
UUGGGUGUGACUGCGUACCUUUUGUAUAAUGGGUCAGCGACUUAUAUUCUGUAGCAAGGUUAACCGAAUAGGGGAGCCGGAGGGAAACCGAGUCUUAAUUGGGCGUUAAGUUGCAGGGUAUAGACCCGAAACCCGGUGAUCUAGCCAUGGGCAGGUUGAAGGUUGGGUAACACUAACUGGAGGACCGAACCGACUAAUGUUGAAAAAUUAGCGGAUGACCUGUGGCUGGGGGUGAAAGGCCAAUCAAACCGGGAGAUAGCUGGUUCUCCCCGAAAGCUAUUUAGGUAGCGCCUCGUGAAUUCAUCUCCGGGGGUAGAGCACUGUUUCGGCUAGGGGGCCAUCCCGGCUUACCAACCCGAUGCAAACUGCGAAUACCGGAGAAUGUUAUCACGGGAGACACACGGCGGGUGCUAACGUCCGUCGUGAAGAGGGAAACAACCCAGACCGCCAGCUAAGGUCCCAAAGUCAUGGUUAAGUGGGAAACGAUGUGGGAAGGCCCAGACAGCCAGGAUGUUGGCUUAGAAGCAGCCAUCAUUUAAAGAAAGCGUAAUAGCUCACUGGUCGAGUCGGCCUGCGCGGAAGAUGUAACGGGGCUAAACCAUGCACCGAAGCUGCGGCAGCGACACUGUGUGUUGUUGGGUAGGGGAGCGUUCUGUAAGCCUGUGAAGGUGUGUCGUGAGGCAUGCUGGAGGUAUCAGAAGUGCGAAUGCUGACAUAAGUAACGAUAAAGCGGGUGAAAAGCCCGCUCGCCGGAAGACCAAGGGUUCCUGUCCAACGUUAAUCGGGGCAGGGUGAGUCGACCCCUAAGGCGAGGCCGAAAGGCGUAGUCGAUGGGAAACGGGUUAAUAUUCCCGUACUUGGUGUUACUGCGAAGGGGGGACGGAGAAGGCUAUGUUGGCCGGGCGACGGUUGUCCCGGUUUAAGCGUGUAGGCUGGUUUUCCAGGCAAAUCCGGAAAAUCAAGGCUGAGGCGUGAUGACGAGGCACUACGGUGCUGAAGCAACAAAUGCCCUGCUUCCAGGAAAAGCCUCUAAGCAUCAGGUAACAUCAAAUCGUACCCCAAACCGACACAGGUGGUCAGGUAGAGAAUACCAAGGCGCUUGAGAGAACUCGGGUGAAGGAACUAGGCAAAAUGGUGCCGUAACUUCGGGAGAAGGCACGCUGACACGUAGGUGAAGUGAUUUACUCAUGGAGCUGAAGUCAGUCGAAGAUACCAGCUGGCUGCAACUGUUUAUUAAAAACACAGCACUGUGCAAACACGAAAGUGGACGUAUACGGUGUGACGCCUGCCCGGUGCCGGAAGGUUAAUUGAUGGGGUCAGCGCAAGCGAAGCUCCUGAUCGAAGCCCCGGUAAACGGCGGCCGUAACUAUAACGGUCCUAAGGUAGCGAAAUUCCUUGUCGGGUAAGUUCCGACCUGCACGAAUGGCGUAAUGAUGGCCAGGCUGUCUCCACCCGAGACUCAGUGAAAUUGAACUCGCUGUGAAGAUGCAGUGUACCCGCGGCAAGACGGAAAGACCCCGUGAACCUUUACUAUAGCUUGACACUGAACAUUGAGCCUUGAUGUGUAGGAUAGGUGGGAGGCUUUGAAGUGUGGACGCCAGUCUGCAUGGAGCCGACCUUGAAAUACCACCCUUUAAUGUUUGAUGUUCUAACGUGGACCCGUUACCCGGGUUGCGGACAGUGUCUGGUGGGUAGUUUGACUGGGGCGGUCUCCUCCUAAAGAGUAACGGAGGAGCACGAAGGUUGGCUAAUCCUGGUCGGACAUCAGGAGGUUAGUGCAAUGGCAUAAGCCAGCUUGACUGCGAGCGUGACGGCGCGAGCAGGUGCGAAAGCAGGUCAUAGUGAUCCGGUGGUUCUGAAUGGAAGGGCCAUCGCUCAACGGAUAAAAGGUACUCCGGGGAUAACAGGCUGAUACCGCCCAAGAGUUCAUAUCGACGGCGGUGUUUGGCACCUCGAUGUCGGCUCAUCACAUCCUGGGGCUGAAGUAGGUCCCAAGGGUAUGGCUGUUCGCCAUUUAAAGUGGUACGCGAGCUGGGUUUAGAACGUCGUGAGACAGUUCGGUCCCUAUCUGCCGUGGGCGCUGGAGAACUGAGGGGGGCUGCUCCUAGUACGAGAGGACCGGAGUGGACGCAUCACUGGUGUUCGGGUUGUCAUGCCAAUGGCACUGCCCGGUAGCUAAAUGCGGAAGAGAUAAGUGCUGAAAGCAUCUAAGCACGAAACUUGCCCCGAG